rnacentral:lncRNA from 1 species
AAGAAGCCAGGUUGUAGGGCGGGAUGGCUGUGUAGAACAGAUCAGUUCUUGCAAAUUGGGCCAACUGAGGAAGCUCGUGAACUGGAACGAGUCCAAGCCUGCAGCUGGACCCACGACUACAUCAGAUGCUGAGAGCAGAGGAGAAAGCAAAGGAGAGCCUUUUCCCCGGGCCUUGGAAUCCGUGAAUCAAGCUAAGCACUCUGAAAAUGGGACUCGGCACAUCCUUAGAAGGAAGCUAUUUGGCAGCUAAGGACAUUCUUCUGCAUGCUGCACUGCUGGUGGAAAAUAUGGAAGAGAUGCCCAUGACUGUCAGCUAUGGCCUUAAGACCCCGGAGAUUCAGUUCUCUGAUGAGAAGUCGCUUUGAGUCUGUGAAACGUUACACCAGGCAUCUGCUGAAUUUGAAGGGAGUAGCAAGUGGUGACAGAAUAACCAGUUGUCAGUGAUCUGUAUCAGUUGUGCAAAUGCCAGAAAAAUAAUUUCAAGGUGAUUUCCCAGGUAUUUGUAAUAGAUCAUAAAUAAAAAAGGCUACUGGCUAGUAA